AACCAUACAAUGUGUGGCUCUUUUUGAUUGGCUAAGUUAUUAAGAUGAUAAUGUUUUAGAGGCUCAUGUAUAUUCUAGCGUGUAUCUGUAUUUCAUUCUCUCCUAUAGUCAGAUAAUAUUUGAGAUCAUGGUUAUAUAACAUUUUGUUAUUCAUUCCAAGUUGAUGAUUAUUUGUCUUUUCUGGUUUUUUUUGGCUAUUUUGAAUAAUGUCUGUUUUAACACUUAUGACCUACUUUGGUGUGGGCAUGUUCUCAGUAUUUGUGAAACAAGAAGUGGAAUUUCUGAGUCAGAUGGCAGAGUGGACAGUGAGAGAGAGAAAGAGAGAAAAGUCUUCCCUUGCCAUUGGUUCACCCUCCAAUGGCCGCCGUGACCAGCGCACUGCGGCCGGCGCACCGCGCUGAUCCGAUGGCAGGAGCGAGCCAUCAUACAAAGGCCAUGUGGUUAGCAACCAAACUCCAUGAUCAGUCUAUGAAGGUCCGGAAUCCUAGCAGUUUGCUGGAUCAAGUAUCCAAUCACUGAUGACCAAAAGCCUACAACUUUACUUGAUUCCCACACUAAUGUUUGAAUGUGACUGUGUUGCUGCUCUUCUGCACUGAAGUCAUAAUUUCUUUGUCAUAAAAUGUACUUUCUUUGAUUGCCGAAAGUUUGUGUCAGGAAAGACAGGAUAGAUGACGAAUUCUUUGAAACCUAAAGCUGGUAGUCAUAGUCAUUCAACUUUUUCAACCACUAGGGAUUAAGCUGUGGCCAGACUAUCUUCCAUUGUUACAAGAUGAAUGCAUUUCUGAGACACCUAAAUAUUUUACUCAAGGUUGUAUGUUUAGCAAAGAACAAUUAUAAUUUCAAAAUUUUAUAUAUAUAUAUGUACACACACACAUAGUAUUUUUACUAAAAUAUGAGUCACCAGAACCUUAGCCUAUUGAUAUAGAAGGAUGAAAAGGCUAAUGUUUUAAUAUGCAUUUUUGGAAAUACCCACUAGUUGAAAUGUAAUUUAGUGGCGCAUACAAAGAUCUUUGAAAUGUUUACGAACAACCUAUAUUAUAGGAAAAGAAAACUACUCAUGAAUUUCAAAAUUAUUUUCACCAUAUAAAGUUGUACUCUCAUUCAAUUUUUCUUUAAACCUCUCAGUGUGCCCUCAUAUGUGUUGUUGUCCAAGAAUCACAGAGAUUCUUGGGGCCGGCACUGUGGUGCAAUGGGUUAAUGCCCUGGCCUGAAGCGCCGGCAUCCAGUAUGGGUGCCAGUUCGAGACCUGGCUGCUCCAUUUCUUGUCCAGCUCUCUGCUAUGGCCCAGGGAAAGCAGUAUAAGAUGGCCCAAGUCCUUGGGCCCCUGCACCCAUGUGGGACACCGAGAAGAAGCUCCUGGCUCCUGGCUUCGGAUUGGCACAGAUCCAUCCAUUGUGGCCAUCUGGGGAGUGAACCUUCAGAUGGAAGACCUCUCUCUCUCUCUCUCUCUCUUUCUGACUCUCCUCUCUCUGUGUAACUCUUUCAAAUAAAUAAAUAAAAUCUUUAAAAAAAUAAAAGGAUUACCUGAAAAGGGACAAGUUGUGUAUGUGGAAAUAGAAAACUAUAGUGUGAGUAAGUGGAAAAUUACUGAUAAUGGUAGGUGAAGAUGGCUUGAACAAUGUACAUUUUGGAUUAAAAUAUAUUUCCUUGAGCAAAUACUUAGCACUGUGUCUAGAGUCACAUUUAGUGACACAACCUACCAAUUAGUAGAAGUAGAAACUUGGUUAAACUUUGGUGAAGUAUUUUAUCACUUUUAUUUUUCUACAAUUUAUUUAUUUACUUAAAAAGCAGAGUUACAGACAGAGAAAGAGAUUAUCCAUUUACUGGUUCACUCCACAAAUGGCUACAACAGUUGGGGGUUGGUGUGUCUGAAGCUAGGAGCCAGGACAUGGGUCACCCAUGUGAGUGGCAGGGGCCCAGGCAUUUGAUCCUCUUCCACUUCUUUCCUAGAUAAAUUAGCAGGGAGCUGAAUUCCAAGUGUAGCAGACAUGACUCCGUACGGUACUCAUAUGGGAUACCAGUGUCACAGCUUAAGCCACCUAGUCACAACUCUGGCAACAUUAGGACAGUUUUUAGUGAAUUUCUUUGUACCUUAGAUUGAAGACAAAAAAGAAAUGAAUAUAUUCUCAACAUUGAAAAUAACACAUAUAACUUAGUCCAUUUACAUCAGAAAUCGAUUGUGUAAAUGUAAUAAGGGUUUAGAAUAACAGGUUACAUGUAGAAAUCAUGAUUUAUUAAAGGACAAGUAAUAGAUAUAUGCUAAAUAAAAGUUUUCUUCUUGAAUUAUAAGCAUUCCUUAAUGUUCAUAAGUUUAUCCUUUGAUGUGUAUGUUCUUAGAAUCCCACAAUAACCACAAAUGGAGAGUAGGGCCCUGGAAUAGAUAUGUCUCCCUACUUUUAACACUUUCUAGAGUCAAUCCAGUGUCCUCUGUUGAUGAACGUUUAGACAUCUAACCAAUGAGAAGUAUCUAUAGGCUCCAGAUGCAAUAAAACCAAGUUAUAUGUGGAGGGAAGUUAAUGUAAUACAAACAUGUGCAAUGGGGUUGCUAUUGUGCCACAGUGAGUUCAGCCACUGCUUGGGAUGCCCACAUCCCAUACCAGAGUGCCAGUUGGAGUCUUAGCUGCUCUGCAUCCAAUCCAGCAGGAAGAUUCAAUCCAGAGGGAAGAUUCUUUCUCUCUCUCUCUCUAUUCUUCUUCUCUCUCUCUUUGCUGCACACACACACACAUACUUUUCUCUUUUACUCUGCUUUCCAAGUAGAUGAAAAAUAAACAUUUAAAUAUAUAGUGAAAGAAAACAGUAUUUCACAUCUGUUGUUUGCUAGCAUGCCAAGUGUUGUUUUACAUUUGGAAACUUCAUCAUAGUAAGAUUUAGGAAAGUAAAUUCAAUGACUUUUUAAAAAUGAAGUUAUUAACGAUCCAACAUGGGAAGAGGGAUACACAGCAGACUCAUAGAAUGGCAGAUGUACUAAACAGCACUCUGGCCUCAGAAUCAGCCCUUAAGACAUUUAGAUCCGGCUGAAAAGCCCAUGAGAGUAUUUCAGGCAUGGAAAGCCAAGACACUCUGGCAAAAACAAAACAAAACAAAACAAAACACCUAAAUGAAAGAUCUCUGUGAGUGAGAUCCCAAUGGAAAGAACAGGUCUUCAAAGAAGGAGGUACCUUUCUCUGAAGGGAGGAGAGAACUUCCACUUGGACUAUGACCUUGUCUAAAUAUGAUCAGAGUCGGUGAACUCAAAAGGCUUCCAUAGCCUUGGCAACUCAUGACAAGAGCCUAGGGUGAUUACUGACACCAUAAACAAGAGUGUCAAUUUGUUAAGUCAACAACAGGAGACACUGUGCACUUACUCCUCAUGUAGGAUCUCUGUCCUUAAUGUGUUGCACAAUGAGAAUUAAAACUAUUACUAGUACUCAAACAGUAUUUUUCACUUUGUGUUUCUGUGUGGGUGCAAACUGUUGAAAUCUUUACUUAAUAUAUACUAAACUGAUCUUCUGUAUAUAAAGAGAAUUGAAAAUGAAUCUUGAUGUGAA